rnacentral:rRNA from 1 species
UACAGAGGGUGCGAGCGUUGUCCGGAAUCACUGGGCGUAAAGGGCGCGUAGGCGGCUUGAUAAGCGUGCGGUGAAAGCCCGGGGCUCAACCCCGGGUCGGCCGUGCGAACUGUCGAGCUGGAGCACUGUAGAGGCAAGUGGAAUUCCGGGUGUAGCGGUGGAAUGCGUAGAGAUCCGGAAGAACACCGGUGGCGAAGGCGGCCUGCUGGGCAGUGGCUGACGCUGAGGCGCGACAGCGUGGGGAGCAAACAGG